rnacentral:rRNA from 1 species
UAUGGCGACCGGCGCACGGGUGAGUAACACGUAUCCAACCUGCCCUCGUUCAGGGGGACAACCUUCCGAAAGGGAGGCUAAUCCCGCGUAUAUCGGUUUCGGGCAUCCGAGAUCGAGGAAAGAUUCAUCGGAAGAGGAUGGGCAUGCGGCGCAUUAGCUAGACGGCGGGGUAACGGCCCACCGUGGCGACGAUGCGUAGGGGUUCUGAGAGGAAGGUCCCCCACACUGGUACUGAGACACGGACCAGACUCCUACGGGAGGCAGCAG